rnacentral:lncRNA from 1 species
UAGGUGAUUUGGCUGGAGAGAAAUGUUAGGGCCUUCAAGGAUGGAUACAAAGCCUUGAGAUCACUACAGGAUUCAGUCUUCUUUCUUUCCUAGUCAUGGACCCCAUCUUCUCCAAUGUUUUAGGAGAUUUCGAUGAGUCCGUUUUGUUUGAAUAGGUGAUCUGCUUGUUCUUCUAGCAAGAGGCUCUUGGAGGUUCAUGCAAAGUGGAACCCUCCUCUGGCAGGUUACCUCAAGUUAAAUUUUGAUGACUGCUCUUUGUAUAUAAUCCAUGACAUCUUGAGACUAGAGGGGUCUUCAGAGACCAUAGGUUAGGGGUCUUUUCCAAGUCUGCAGGAGAGGGAUUAGCUAUUGAGGCCAAGAUUCUUGUUCAAUUUAAAGGUGUAAC